CCUACGGGGGGCACCAGUAGGGAAUCUUCGGCAAUGGACGAAAGUCCGACCGAGCAACGCCGCGUGAGUGAAGAAGGUUUUCGGAUCGUAAAACUCUGUUGGUAGAGAAGAACGUUGGUGAGAGUGGAAAGCUCAUCAAGUGACGGUAACUACCCAGAAAGGGACGGCUAACUACGUGCCAGCGGCCGCGGUAAUACGUAGGUCCCGAGCGUUGUCCGGAUUUAUUGGGCGUAAAGCGAGCGCAGGUGGUUUAUUAAGUCUGGUGUAAAAGGCAGUGGCUCAACCAUUGUAUGCAUUGGAAACUGGUAGACUUGAGUGCAGGAGAGGAGAGUGGAAUUCCAUGUGUAGCGGUGAAAUGCGUAGAUAUAUGGUGGAACACCGGUGGCGAAAGCGGCUCUCUGGCCUGUAACUGACACUGAGGCUCGAAAGCGUGGGGAGCAAACAGGAUUAGAUACCCGGGUAGUC
rnacentral:rRNA from 1 species